UACGGAGGGUGCGAGCGUUGUCCGGAAUCACUGGGCGUAAAGGGCGCGUAGGCGGCGCGGGUAGUCAUCGGUGAAAGUUCAGGGCUCAACUCUGAAUCGGCCGGUGAUACUCCCGUGCUCGAGCACUGUAGAGGCAGGUGGAAUUCCGGGUGUAGCGGUGGAAUGCGUAGAGAUCCGGAAGAACACCGGUGGCGAAGGCGGCGUUCUGGACUGUUUCUGACACUGAGGAACGAAAGCCAGGGGAGCAAACGGG
rnacentral:rRNA from 1 species